GCGGUAAUACGGAGGGGGUUAGCGUUGUUCGGAAUUACUGGGCGUAAAGAGCGCGUAGGCGGAUUACAAAGUUGGGGGUGAAAUCCCGGGGCUCAACCUCGGAACUGCCUCCAAAACUGCUAGUCUAGAGUUCGAGAGAGGUGAGUGGAAUUCCGAGUGUAGAGGUGAAAUUCGUAGAUAUUCGGAGGAACACCAGUGGCGAAGGCGGCUCACUGGCUCGAUACUGACGCUGAGGUGCGAAAGUGUGGGGAGCAAACAGGAUUAGAUACCCUGGUAGUCCACACCGUAAACGAUGAAUGCCAGUCGUCGGGUAGUAUACUAUUCGGUGACACACCUAACGGAUUAAGCAUUCCGCCUGGGGAGUACGGUCGCAAGAUUAAAACUCAAAGGAAUUGACGGGGG
rnacentral:rRNA from 1 species